rnacentral:rRNA from 1 species
GACGAACGCUGGCGGCGUGCCUAAUACAUGCAAGUUGAGCGCUGAAGGUUGGUCCUUGUACCAACUGGAUGAGCAGCGAACGGGUGAGUAACGCGUGGGUAAUCUGCCUUUGAGCGGGGGACAACAUUUGGAAACGAAUGCUAAUACCGCAUAAAAACUUUAAACACAAGUUUUAAGUUUGAAAGAUGCAUUUGCAUCACUCAAAGAUGAUCCCGCGUUGUAUUAGCUAGUUGGUGAGGUAAAGGCUCACCAAGGCGAAGAUACAUAGCCGACCUGGGAGGGUGGUCGGCCAAAUUGGGACUGGGACACGGCCCAAACCCCUACGGGAGGGAGCAGGAGGGAAACUUCGGCAAAGGAGGAAAGUCUGACCGAGCAACGCCGGGGGAGUGAAGAAGGGUCUCGGAUCGUAAAACUCUGUUGGUAGAGAAGAACGUGGGUGAGAGUGGAAAGCUCAUCAAGUGACGGUAACUACCCAGAAAGGGACGGCUAACUACGUG